UACGGAGGGUGCGAGCGUUGUCCGGAAUCACUGGGCGUAAAGCGCGUGUAGGCGGCCCGGUAAGUCCGCUGUGAAAGUCCAGUGCUCAACCCUGGGAUGCCGGUGGAUACUGUCGGGCUCGAGUCCGGAAGAGGCGAGUGGAAUUCCUGGUGUAGCGGUGAAAUGCGCAGAUAUCAGGAGGAACACCAAUGGCGAAGGCAGCUCGCUGGGACGUGACUGACGCUGAGACGCGAAAGCGUGGGGAGCAAACAGG
rnacentral:rRNA from 1 species